rnacentral:sRNA from 1 species
UAUUUGUGUAAUAUUUUUGCGGGAAAACCCGAAAGAACCGUCAUCCAUUUUUAAUUUAGA